rnacentral:rRNA from 1 species
UGGACAACCUACCCUCCGGACGGGUAUAAACCCGGGAAACUGGGUAUAAUCCCCGAUAGAUCUCGGUCGCUGGAAAGCCCCGAGAUCGAAAGCUCCGGCGCCAGAGGAUGGGUCUGCGGCCUAUCAGGUAGUAGUGGGUGUAGCGUACCUACUAGCCUACGACGGGUACGGGUUGUGAGAGCAAGAGCCCGGAGAUGGAUUCUGAGACACGAAUCCAGGCCCUACGGGGUGCAGCAGGCGCGAAAACUUUACAAUGCCGGCAACGGCGAUAAGGGGACCUCGAGUGCCAGGUUACAAAUCUGGCUGUCGUGAUGCCUAAAAAGCAUUGCAUAGCAAGGGCCGGGCAAGACCGGUGCCAGCCGCCGCGGUAACACCGGCGGCUCGAGUGGUAACCGUUAUUAUUGGGUCUAAAGGGUCUGUAGCCGGCCGGAUAAGUCUCUUGAGAAAUCCAGCAGCUCAACUGUUGGGCUUUCAGGAGAUACUGUCUGGCUCGAGGCCGGGAGAGGUGAGAGGUACUUCAGGGGUAGGGGUGAAAUCUUGUAAUCCUUGAAGGACCACCAGUGGCGAAGGCGUCUCACCAGAACGGACCUGACGGCAAGGGACGAAAGCUAGGGGCACGAACCGGAUUAGAUACCCGGGUAGUCCUAGCCGUAAACGAUACUCGCUAGGUGUCGGCCACGGUGCGACCGUUGUCGGUGCCGUAGGGAAGCCGUGAAGCGAGCCACCUGGGAAGUACGGCCGCAAGGCUGAAACUUAA